rnacentral:rRNA from 1 species
UACGGGGGGGGUAAGCGUUGUUCGGAAUUACUGGGCGUAAAGGGCUCGUAGGCGGCCAACUAAGUCGGACGUGAAAUCCCUCAGCUUAACUGGGGAACUGCGUCCGAUACUGGAUGGCUUGGAUUUGGGAGAGGGAUGCGGAAUUCCAGGUGUAGCGGUGAAAUGCGUAGAUAUUGCUCGGAAGGCCAACGGCGAAGGCAGGUUACUGGUACGCAACUGACGCUGAGGCACGAAAGCGUGGGGAGCAAACAGG